rnacentral:rRNA from 1 species
GACAGAGGGCGCAAACGUUGCUCGGAAUUACUGGGCGUAAAGCGCGUGUAGGCGGAUUGGCAAGUCGGGUGUGAAAUCCCUGGGCUCAACCCAGGAACUGCAUCCGAAACUGCUCGUCUAGAGUGUUGGAGAGGGAAGCGGAAUUCCUGGUGUAGAGGUGAAAUUCGUAGAUAUCAGGAGGAACACCGGUGGCGAAGGCGGCUUCCUGGACAAUUACUGACGCUGAGACGCGAAAGCGUGGGGAGCAAAC